UUGUGCGUGCGUAAAAAGAUUUGUGCGUGCGUAACAGGAUUUGUAAACCUUAAAAAUAAAAUACAUGUUGAAAAAGUACACACAAAUCACCUGGUACGCACACACAAAACUGCAGUUACACACAAAUCCGGUUACGAGUGCACAACUAUUUUUGAGACUCAUUUCACGCCUCGGUGGAAGCUCCAAAAUUUGUGUGUAGAUGGUGCGUUUACAUGCUAGUAAAAGCUGGGACAUCUGAGUUUUCUUCGGAACUGUUUCUUUUUUCCAUAGUUCAAUAUGUAUUUCUCUCUUUACUUGUCUCGUGGCUUAGACAUAUUUUUGUGAGAGAAAAAUACAUGUCAUUACACCCACGUCUACCUUUUAAUACUAUAAGAUUGUUUAUAUAUGAAUCCGCAUUUGGGACCUAUACAACUGUAAUUACUUGGGUAAAAAAUUCGACCACUAGGUGGUGGAAGUUUAUUCCGCUCUGACUGGGAAAAGCCUUCAUUCAAACUGAGAGAAGAAACAAGAGAAUGGCGGGUCAGCCGAGUGAUCGUGUUCGUGGUCUACCUUCCGAACAGAUAGUUGGAAACAUGGCUCAUGCCUUGGCUACAGCACUCACAAGGGAACUUGUGGGAAAUACAAGCUCUCCCUCAACAAGUUCAUGCCCUAAUAUCGGCAACAAUUCUGGCCCUUUGGCUUCAAAUUCUUCAACACGGGUCAACCAGGCAUUAAAACGGCAAUUUCCAAAUCUGUUUCAAAAGUCAGACCUGAAAAAAGGCAAACAGAGGAUUAUCGCCUCAACUCGUUCUACAAAAAUCUCCAACAUUGGAAUAUACGUAUUGCCAGGCCCCACCAAUCUAACCCCCAAAAAUUCUGAUGAGCUUCCCUUAGCACAUGCAGGGUUAGGGAGAAGGGUGCUUUCUUUUUCUGACGACAGCAGGCAUGAGGAGAUUGUCAGUCAGUUGGAGGAUGAGUUUAUCAAACUUAAACAACUGAAGGGAAGAUGGAUGUUCCAUAAAGCAUCAGGUGGAGGUGGUUAAAGGAAAUUGUCAAUAAUCCCAAUGGAUGCUGAAGGGUACAGCGGCAAGCUGCUCCGUUCUGCUUCAAAUAAUGGGAAAAUAGUCCUCUUCCUGGUACCCCUCCAGGAAGAACUGGAGACAAGUCCACUUCCAUUUGAUGCGGAGGAGUUUGCCAAAAUGCCUCAGGUGCCCUGUGUCACUUGUGGUAUAACAAUGCCUCUUCAGAUGCUGGCGUUACAUGCUGGGUCUUGCAGAAAAAAAAAAAAAAAUCGAACUGAUCAGACUGAACCUAUAGAGGUUGAUGAGGAUGACUGUGACACAUUGGAGGAGCCAGAAGACACAAUUGAAGAUUUGGAAGAAAGAGAGUGCUGCCCUAUCUGCCAGAGGGAUUUCUUGAAGUCUGUGCUUCCUUAUCAUGCCAUUGAAUGCUGUGACAGGAGGGAGGGAGUAUUGGAAAUACACCCAGAUAUGCCAGGACCAUCAUCAACAACUUCAGGAACUUCUUAUUCUGCAGAACCUAGAAGUACUGAAGAAUGGAAAACAGUUGGAGAUCCACAGAAGGCUGUUGAGCUGUUUGUCAGACAACUGAAGCAAGUAGGAGUUAACCAGAGGACACUUGUUCUCACUCUGGAUGCGAUGGACACUGAUGAGGAGCGAGAUAUGUCUCUCAUUUCAUUUUACA